rnacentral:rRNA from 1 species
GUGCCAGCCCCGCGGUAAUACGAAGGGUGCAAGCGUUAAUCGGAAUUACUGGGCGUAAAGCGUGCGUAGGUGGUUUGUUAAGUCUGAUGUGAAAGCCCUGGGCUCAACCUGGGAAUGGCAUUGGAUACUGGCUUACUAGAGUGCGGUAGAGGGUAGCGGAAUUUCCGGUGUAGCGGUGAAAUGCGUAGAGAUCGGAAGGAACAUCCGUGGCGAAGGCGGCUACCUGGACCAGCACUGACACUGAGGCACGAAAGCGUGGGGAGCAAACAGGAUUAGAUAUCCUGGUAGUCC